CAGUAGCCGCGGUAAUACGUAGGGGGCAAGCGUUAUCCGGAAUUACUGGGUGUAAAGGGAGCGUAGACGGUUAAACAAGUCUGAAGUGAAAUGCCGGGGCUCAACCCCGGAGCUGCUUUGGGAACUGUAGAACUGGAGUGUCGGAGGGGUAAGCGGAAUUCCCAGUGUAGCGGUGAAAUGCGUAGAUAUUGGGAGGAACACCGGCGGCGAAGGCGGCUUACUGGACGACAACUGACGUUGAGGCUCGAAGGCGUGGGUAGCGAACAGGAUUAGAGACCCCGGUAGUCCCUGUCUCUUAUAC
rnacentral:rRNA from 1 species